AAUAAAUCCCAUUGAUCCUGUGGGAGGUUGCUGCUAUUGGGAUCCGACUAAGCCAUGCAAGUCAUAGGGGUAGCAAUACCACUGGCGUAAGGCUCAGUAACACGUCG
rnacentral:rRNA from 1 species